rnacentral:rRNA from 1 species
CACGUAGGGGGCAAGCGUUGUCCGGAUUUAUUGGGCGUAAAGAGCUCGUAGGUGGUUCGGUAAGUCGGGUGUGAAAACUCUGGGCUCAACUCAGAGACGCCACCCGAUACUGCUGUGACUUGAGUCUGGUAGGGGAGUGUGGAAUUCCCAGUGUAGCGGUGAAAUGCGCAGAUAUCAGGAAGAACACCCGUGGCGAAGGCGGCUCUCUGGGACGGUACUGACGCUGAGACGCGAAAGCGUGGGGAGCGAACAGG